CUCUAAAAACGGUAAACAUUUUGAAAAGCGUUUAUUCAAAAUGUUUACCGUUUUCGGAG
rnacentral:sRNA from 1 species